rnacentral:rRNA from 1 species
UGCAAGUCGAGCGGAACGAUGAUAGCUUGCUAUCAGGCGUCGAGCGGCGGACGGGUGAGUAAUACUUAGGAAUCUACCUAGUAGUGGGGGAUAGCACGGGGAAACUCGUAUUAAUACCGCAUACGACCUACGGGAGAAAGGGGGCAGUUUACUGCUCUCGCUAUUAGAUGAGCCUAAGUCGGAUUAGCUAGAUGGUGGGGUAAAGGCCUACCAUGGCGACGAUCUGUAGCUGGUCUGAGAGGAUGAUCAGCCACACCGGGACUGAGACACGGCCCGGACUCCUACGGGAGGCAGCAGUGGGGAAUAUUGGACAAUGGGGGAAACCCUGAUCCAGCCAUGCCGCGUGUGUGAAGAAGGCCUUUUGGUUGUAAAGCACUUUAAGCAGUGAAGAAGACUCCGUGGUUAAUACCCACGGACGAUGACAUUAGCUGCAGAAUAAGCACCGGCUAACUCUGUGCCAGCAGCCGCGGUAAUACAGAGGGUGCAAGCGUUAAUCGGAAUUACUGGGCGUAAAGGGAGCGUAGGUGGCUCUAUAAGUCAGAUGUGAAAUCCCCGGGCUUAACCUGGGAACUGCAUCUGAAACUGUAGAGCUAGAGUAUGUGAGAGGAAGGUAGAAUUCCAGGUGUAGCGGUGAAAUGCGUAGAGAUCUGGAGGAAUACCGAUGGCGAAGGCAGCCUUCUGGCAUAAUACUGACACUGAGGCUCGAAAGCGUGGGUAGCAAACAGGAUUAGAUACCCUGGUAGUCCACGCCGUAAACGAUGUCUACUAGUCGUUGGGUCCCUUGAGGACUUAGUGACGCAGCUAACGCAAUAAGUAGACCGCCUGGGGAGUACGGCCGCAAGGUUAAAACUCAAAUGAAUUGACGGGGGCCCGCACAAGCGGUGGAGCAUGUGGUUUAAUUCGAUGCAACGCGAAGAACCUUACCUGGUCUUGACAUAUCUAGAAUCCUGCAGAGAUGCGGGAGUGCCUUCGGGAAUUAGAAUACAGGUGCUGCAUGGCUGUCGUCAGCUCGUGUCGUGAGAUGUUGGGUUAAGUCCCGCAACGAGCGCAACCCUUGUCCUUAGUUACCAGCGGGUUAAGCCGGGAACUCUAAGGAUACUGCCAGUGACAAACUGGAGGAAGGCGGGGACGACGUCAAGUCAUCAUGGCCCUUACGACCAGGGCUACACACGUGCUACAAUGGUAGGUACAGAGGGCAGCUACACAGCGAUGUGAUGCGAAUCUCAAAAAGCCUAUCGUAGUCCAGAUUGGAGUCUGCAACUCGACUCCAUGAAGUAGGAAUCGCUAGUAAUCGCGGAUCAGAAUGCCGCGGUGAAUACGUUCCCGGGCCUUGUACACACCGCCCGUCACACCAUGGGAGUUGAUUGCACCAGAAGUGGAUAGCUUAACCUUCGGGGGAGC